rnacentral:lncRNA from 1 species
CGGCGAAAGUCUUCCACCAACAUUGUUUGAAAUAUGACUUCUAACCACCUCUCUACCUAUCAUUUAUAUAUUUCUCAACUUCUUGUUUGAGAUAUUAGCGUAAGUCACUAACAAACCAUCAAUCAAUCAUUAAGUCAUAUGAUAACUAUAUACUGAUGAUGUAAAUUGGGAAUGCAAAUUAAAUUUGUUACCUGGUAAGCAUCGAGGACAGAGAGAUCAACAAUGGAAGGAUUGUUAGCUUGAAGACCAACAAUGGAAGCAAAGAGUCCAAGGUUGUUGAAAGAUUGUCUUACACUUAUUGAUCCCAAAGAAUGAUUAGUAAACAAGAAGAGAGGCCAAGUAAGUCUAACACAAUUAAAACCCAUGUUGAUAAUAGCUUGAGAUAUUGCAUCCAUUGGCUGUUGGUUUAGCCCUUCUGCCACCAUAACCUCCAUAUGUGACCAAGGUUGUUGAAAGAUUGUCUUACAGUUAUUGAUCCCAAAGAAUGAUUAGUAAACAAGAAGAGAGGCCAAGUAAGUCUAACACAAUUAAAACCCAUGUUGAUAAUAGAUUGAGAAAUUGCAUCCACUGGCUGUUGGUUUAG